GCUCUAGGGCGUGGUUCCUUGUCUCCGCAGUGGCAGCCACGAGUGGAAGAAGCUGAUCAUGGUCCACCACUGGCCGGCGACCGUGUGCAAGAGAGCGGGAGACGGCUGCAGAGACCCCCCGGACUACUGGACGAUCCACGGGCUGUGGACUGACAAAGCGGACUCGUGUAAUCGGUCGUGGCCCUUUAAGUUGGACGAGAUUAAGGACCUCAUGCAGGACAUGAAGAUGUACUGGCCUGACCUGCUCCACCCGUCUCCCAACAGCACCUUUUUGUGGUGAGUCCCGCGCCGUCUCUGUCUCCAGCCCC